UUUGGUCCCCUUCAACCAG
rnacentral:ncRNA from 3 species